rnacentral:rRNA from 1 species
AAGUCCAAAAUGACUCUCGGCAACGGAUAUCUCGACUCUCGCAUCAAUGAAGAAUGUAACAAAACGCGAUAUUGGUGUGAAUUGUAGAAUCCUGUGAACCAUCGAGAGUGCUCAGGGAGUGUGGGGGUGGAUGAUGGCCUCCCAUGUAUCCUGGCUUGCAGUUGGCCCAAA